GAGACUUCAACAUGUCAGUUACAUCAGUGGACAGAUGAUCUAAAGAGAAAAUCCACAAAGAAACAGUGGCUUUGAAUGCCUGGUUGGACCAGAUGGAUCUAACAGAUAUAUUCAGAACAUUCCAUCCUAAAACAGCAGAAUAAAUAUUCUUUUCAAGUGCACAUUGAACAUUCUCCAGAAUAGAUUACAUAUUAGGCCCCAUUACUGGCUAUUUACCCAAAAACCACAAAACACUAAUUUGGGGUGACAGACAAGGUC